AAAGGUCAUGUGCAUGGUCCUACCAACCUGCCUCAGUCUCUCCCUCUCUGUCCCAGGGCAUGUUUCCAUUUGGCCAGCCCUCUUUACCGCAUGGCAGACGAAGAAUUGUAGAUUGAUGGAAAAGAUGAACUGCUUUUGGUCUAUCAGUCUCAAGAAGGUGCUGCACAUCAUCAUCUCUCUCAGCUCCCUGGCACCAGACCACUUCUACUGCAGGCUCCUACUAAGGGGAUGUUGAAUAAUGCUGGAGAUGAGAUUGUGGUUGAAUGGAGUUUGCCACUAAGUAUUUUGGAGAACUAAAAGGAAGGAUCCGAGACACUGCAGGACAUCUUUGUUAAUUUCUGCUGUCUCCUGGCGGUGAAGUUAAGUACAAUGCCAGUAAACAAUAAGUUUCGGCAAUAUUUUGUCCUUUGGUGACACAGAACUUUUCCUUCACAGAUGCUCAAUAUGCCAUUUUCUCUCGCAUGCUCUUCUUGUGAUACUAUAUUGAAUUUCUGUUUUCUCCCCACUUCCAAUUAAUGCAAGAUGAGCCUUUUUUGAAAGGCCCUGUGGGAGUUAUGCACCCAUUUCUCAGCAAUUUUCCAUUUGAGCUGGCACCAAAUGUGCUUAAGAGAGUUCUUGAAAUCUCACCCGUAGAGUCUGAUCCUUAGCUAAAGAGUCCUCAUUGGAAACUAUGAUUAUUACAAAGGUUACCAGCAAUGAACAUUACUUUGUUAUGCCUGUGACGUGUGUACCCUUGAUUCAUAACAAUAAUGACACUUUUCACCUAGGUAGCACUUUUCAUCUGAACUGAAUGAUCAGAGUCAGUAUUUCCAUUUUGCUGGUGUUUCAUAUAAAUCUCUGCAUUUGUCAUUGACAAAUGAAAGAGCUUCAGAAAUGUUUUCCCCAUCAUUUGUCUCCUGGAACCAAAAUGAAACAAGGAAAGUUCAUGUUGUAUCACAAAGAGUAGGAAAAAACCCAGAGAUUGUUGGCUCAGAGAACUUAGUAAUGGCAGAUAUGAUGAAAUAGCUGGGGGACAUGCUGGGCCCCACACUAAGUGUAAUGGAAGGCAUGCAGUCAGCACAUGGACCAAAACGCCCUUCGUAGGUCCUGGGGCACUGUAAGUGGGCCUUAAUAGCACAGCCUCCCCCUCCUCUUUUCAGUGCCCUGGUACGUAGAUAAUAGGGUUUUGCUGGUGUACUCUCCAUGCAUUCACUCGAAAUCAGCAUGUAACAGUGAAUCAUUGUGACAUGAUGUUC
rnacentral:lncRNA from 14 species